UACCAGCACCCCGAGUGGUCGGGACGAUUAUUGGGCCUAAAGCAUCCGUAGCCGGUCCUACAAGUCUUCCGUUAAAUCCACCUGCUUAACAGAUGGGCUGCGGAAGAUACUAUAGGGCUAGGAGGCGGGAGAGGCAAGCGGUACUCAGUGGGUAGGGUAAAUCCUCUGAUCCAUUGAAGACCACCAGUGGCGAAGGCGGCUUGCCAGAACGCGCUCGACGGUGAGGGAUGAAAGCUGGGGGAGCAAACAGG
rnacentral:rRNA from 1 species